GACGAACGCUGGCGGCGUGCUUAACACAUGCAAGUCGAACGGAAAGGCCCUGCUUUUGUGGGGUGCUCGAGUGGCGAACGGGUGAGUAACACGUGAGUAACCUGCCCUUGACUUUGGGAUAACUUCAGGAAACUGGGGCUAAUACCGGAUAGGAGCUCCUGCUGCAUGGUGGGGGUUGGAAAGUUUCGGCGGUUGGGGAUGGACUCGCGGCUUAUCAGCUUGUUGGUGGGGUAGUGGCUUACCAAGGCUUUGACGGGUAGCCGGCCUGAGAGGGUGACCGGCCACAUUUGGACUGAGAUACGGCCCAGACUCCUACGGGAGGCAGCAGUGGGGAGUAUUGCACAAUGGGCGGAAGCCUGAUGCAGCAACGCCGCGUGCGGGAUGACGGCCUUCGGGUUGUAAACCGCUUUCGCCUGUGACGAAGCGUGAGUGACGGUAAUGGGUAAAGAAGCACCGGCUAACUACGUG
rnacentral:rRNA from 1 species